UACGGGGGAUGCAAGCGUUAUCCAGAUUUAUUGGGUUUAAAGGGUGCGUAGGCUGUGAGGUAAGUCAGCGGUGAAAUGCCCCCGCUCAACGGGGUGAAGUGCCAUUGAUACUGCCUUGCUGGAAUGCGGAUGCCAUGGGAGGAAUGCGUGGUGUAGCGGUGAAAUGCAUAGAUAUCACACAGAACACCGAUUGCGAAGGCAUCUCACGAAUCCGCUAUUGACGCUGAUGCGCGAAAGCGUGGGUAUCAAACAGG
rnacentral:rRNA from 1 species